UAUUAUUCAGUCCCCCCUUGAGUACUUGACUACGGUUGACAACUUGUAUGUAAACAGGCUUUCACCAAUCUCUAUCAAUGAUAAAAUUAUAGAAGUUGUGGGCAAUUUUGAAUGUUCUUUUCAGCAUUGAUCUAAUGUGGAACAAGCAUGUAGCAAGUGUGGUUUUAAAAUCAAGAGCAGGAAGAACCUAGACAAAAGCAGAGUGAAAGCUGAUGAAAAGGCAGUGGUAGAUGUGAUGAGGAGUAUAGACAGACACCAUGAUAAAUCCUUUCCAAGAAGAAUAUAAAGAACAUGUGCACCUGGCAAGUGGGGCAGUUGCAACAGGCGAAGGGUGAAAUCAAAGCUGUAAAUUACAAGAGGACAAACAUUGUCGAAGGAACACCAAAUAUUUACGUUAUUAUAAGGAAAACAAACUUGAAAACUUUCUCACAUCUUGGGAAAAAAGUAAUAAAGAAAAGAAAAAAUGGAGAUGUAGCGUCCUUGAAAAUUCGAAAGCCUUAUUCACCAAAGUGUUGUUGAUUGCCAGAACAACAACAAAUAACGCAAUUUGCGUAUGGAAGAUGUUAUAAAAUAUUCUCUUCGGCCUUUCGUAGUUCUUUAGCCAUAUGUGAUGGAGAACGUCAAAAGCCAAGCUGCUGCACGCUAUUGAACGAGAUGUAACCAAUGCAACAGUUACAAAUUUAUUUUCUCUUGACACAGCUUUUAUUUUGGACGGAAUGGCUAUGCUACAAACCUUAACAGUUCUUCCUAAAACAUUUCGAGAGAUGUCGACACUGGUGCUGGAGAAGACUGUAGACGCUGCUCUACGUUUAGAGCCCCACAGACGAGCCAACAUCAGCGAUGUCCAGUUGGUGCUAAUACACGGUGGAGAUCAAAAGCUUCCUCGACAAUGAGAUCAAAAGCUUCCUCGACAAUGAGAUCAAAAGCUUUCUUGACAUUUUAUUGAAUUGGGAACUGGCAACAAUAGGCAAAUAAUUUCCCUUCCCAACAUGAUAAAUGGUCUUGGGGAGCACUGAUGUAAAGCUCUAUUUGGCUUUCACGCAUUUACAGGUUAGAAGCGAUAAAGUAAAAUAAAACUGAGAAUUUGUAAGUAAAGUUGUGACACAAUUAGUUCAUUUUACGGUAAAGGCAGAGUUACAGUUCUCCAGACGGCAAGAAAGAAGGAAAACUAUGCAGAUGUUUUUGGGAGUCUAGGAAGAGAAGCAACAUUAUCCAACGAAUUAAUUGAGAAUUUGCACGCUUAUGUAUGCCACUUGUAUGGAUACGAAGAAUGCGCAGAUGUUAAUUACGUCCCAUAUCAAGUGUUGAAAAGAGGGAAAUUUAGUGAAGAGAUAUUGCCACCAAACGAAGAUUCGCUUAAUCAACAUAUUCGGAGAGCCAACUUCCAAAGCUACAUAUGGUGUCAUGCAGUGUAGCCUAUAUUAAAUCUUCUGUCAGUUUCUAAUCACGGUUGGAAAAUAGAAAAAGAGGACGUUGUGGUUGAUAGGAUGACAAUGCGUCCUGCUCCAGACUCAUUGCUAGAAACUCUCCACUGUAGAUGUACGAAAGGCUGCGAGAACAGAAAGUGUUCUUGCGUAAAAUCAUUGCUAAAAUGCUGGGACUUGUGCCACUGCACUAAUUGACAAAACUUUGCAGAGUGUUUUCUUGAAAACGACGAGUUUGAUUCGGACAUUUUUCAUGCAUGCGAUGAUUUCAGUUCUGAAGUAAAUAGUGAUAAUAAUUUAUAAGUAUUUCCAUUUGGUAAUAUGACAAUGACAAGCAUAUCGACAGGAUUGGGGUCUAUCAAAUGGCACACUUCCAAAAAUCUCCCAAUCAUAAAUAAAAAGGUUCGUAGCUUUGUCUUAGCUUGUUCAUGGGACGAUCAUGAUGAGAGAUAAUAAAUUGGUUAAAAGUACGUGUCGAAGACGGCCAAGUCACUUGAUUUCUGAGUCGAUCUCGCGUCGUGUGUGGUAUGGAAUUCUUCGAAGAAGUUUUUGGCUUUUAGUAUUUGUGACGAAUUGGUUGCAAGAUAGUAAAUGUUUAGAGACAGCAAACAUUUUAAAAGAAUGAGCGAAAUGGGAAAUUUAUGUGUCUCUAUGUAACCUUUGGCGAAUUGUAAGGACUCGAACAGUUAAAAAAGUGUGGGAUUCGUUUUGAUGAAAUACUUGGGAAAGAUGGACAAAAAGUAAUGAAUGAUAUUGUCGAUUUCAUUAAAUGCUUCAAAUUCGACAAGCUUUUAAAAGAUUGAGGGGAAUGGCAAUUUGUCGUGUGUCAAUCAGUCAAAAAAGUGUUUAAAUCAUGCUAUGAAAUAUUUGCAGAGAAGUUGGACUUAAAGAGGAAUGAAAAGUUUGAAAGAUUGAGCGACAUGGCAAUUUUAUUGAAAGUUAUUGGCAACUUGACGAAGUGUUUGAAUCAUAUACAUUGAUUAUUUGCAGAAAAAAUGAGGACAAACGUAUUGAACGAUACUAUGGAUUUUAUUUACUAAAUUUGACUAAAUGUGUCUUCAAUAUUUUAGAGGAAAGAAAAUGGUGAAAACAUCGAACGAAAUACAAAUUUUGUGAGAAACAUGGACAGGUUGCGGCGUUUCGUACCGUUUACGGAGAUGAGCUGUUUAGCAGGUAUUUAGACCCUUUGUGAUGAGGAACAUUGAAGAAUUCAAAUCAGCGUUCAAAAGAUGUUUACGUGAAGCAGUUGAAGAUUGUCUUACCCAUAAUUUGAUGGUUAUCGAAGAAUAUAAAAGAACGCAUUCCAAUCUAGCACGAAUUGGACGAAAUGUUCAAGAUGACAGAAAAGUUAGAAGGCCAGUUCAAAAAGUCUGAAAAUAGUUUGGCGACUAUUUAAAAAUUGGAGCAGCUACUUAUGUACAUAUAAAACCAUCCUAGCUUAGUGCCUGCAUUUUUGGCCUCUUUCGAGACCAAAACUACAUGCAUCAUGAAUGUGUUCACUUGCGGAAGUUUUUGUUUAUUAUCAAAUAUGUUGACGAGGAAAUAAUGCGUAAACUAUAGCCUUUUGGGUGAAAA